GAGGCCUUANCUUAAUUAAAGUGUCUGGGUUGCAUUCAGGUGAUGUAGAUUAAAAUUUUACAGGUCUGA
rnacentral:tRNA from 1 species